AGCAGGGUUGGAACCUUUAGAUCCACCACACAGCCCUCUCCCACUUGCACGAACAGGGUAAUAGCAGAAGUAGGCUGCUAUUGGACCAUAUGAGUAUCAUAGGCAUGGGACACACGCUUUGCCAGUGGAUUUCACAGCUAUUUGCUGACAGCAGAGGAAUGAUUUGCUGAAAUCUACAAAAUAAGUCAGAUUUGAAGGAAAUACUCUUGGUAGUUUAAAAGCUAUGAAUGUGUAGAGUUCGCCUGUUGAAACUUGUAUUUGUUUAUUUUAAGGACAGCUCUGUGUCAGAGCAGCUGAGGGGCCAUGAUAUGCUGUAGAUUCAAGUCAUUCUCACUUGUAGGUGCCGAACGCUUCAGAGGGUGACCUAAAGGGCAGGAAGCAUGAGUUCAUGUGUUUGGAAACACAAGUCCAGGCACGUCUGGUGGUCAUUGCUGAGUCUCCAAGCAAGGUUGAGGAAUUCCCCUGGUGGGGCCUCAUGCAGGUGAGUCAUUGCAUUGUAGCUCCCUUGCUGGACAAUGGCUGUGGAUGGGCUGUUUGACACCCUGCCCAGGCAUUGGUUACUUUCCUUGCUGUUGCCUCUGGGGAGCUAAUGUCUGGCUGAUUCCCCAACUUACAGUAGGUUUUAGUGACAAGCAUACAACACAA